rnacentral:rRNA from 1 species
GACGAACGCUGGCGGCGUGCUUAACACAUGCAAGUCGAACGGUGAAAGCGGAGCUUGCUCCGCUGGAUCAGUGGCGAACGGGUGAGUAACACGUGGGCAACCUGCCCCUCACUUCGGGAUAACUCCGGGAAACCGGGGCUAAUACCGGAUAUGACCUCCUUGGGCAUCCUUGGAGGUGGAAAGUUUUUCGGUGAGGGAUGGGCCCGCGACCUAUCAGCUUGUUGGUGAGGUAGUGGCUCACCAAGGCGACGACGGGUAGCCGGCCUGAGAGGGUGAUCGGCCACACUGGGACUGGGACACGGCCCAGACUCCUACGGGAGGCAGCAGUAGGGAAUCUUCCGCAAUGGACGAAAGUCUGACGGAGCAACGCCGCGUGAGUGAUGAAGGCUUUCGGGUCGUAAAACUCUGUUGUUAGGGAAGAACAAGUGCUAGUUGAAUAAGCUGGCACCUUGACGGUACCUAACCAGAAAGCCACGGCUAACUACGUGCCAGCCGCCGCGGUAA